CGCAAUCUGCGGUGUUUGCUAGUUACUGGGGUACUCUUGAGCCUAAUAUCGAAACCCGGGUGCUUGAUGCAGUCUGUUGUUGUGCAAGUCCGCUACGAGCGGAAAGCCUGAUACAGGCCAUUGGCUCCCACCUGAACCGACUGGUUCAAGGUCAAAAGUAACGGCGGCACGCGUGGAGAGCGU
rnacentral:other from 1 species